UACGGAGGGGGUUAGCGUUGUUCGGAAUUACUGGGCGUAAAGCGCGCGUAGGCGGAUUAGAAAGUUGGGGGUGAAAUCCCGGGGCUCAACCUCGGAACUGCCUCCAAAACUGCUAGUCUAGAGUUCGAGAGAGGUGAGUGGAAUUCCGAGUGUAGAGGUGAAGUUCGUAGUUAUUCGGAGGAACACCAGUGGCGAAGGCGGCUCACUGACUCGAUACUGACGCUGAGGUGCGAAAGUGUGGGGAGCAAACAGG
rnacentral:rRNA from 1 species